GGCUGUGAUGAAGUUUGCUUUUUUUAUUUCUGACACCUCUUGUGCGAGAGGGGCUUUUAAAAGCCUUUCCUUGAACAAAGUAGCAACUUUCUGAGCC